UCCGACCUCGCUGCUCCUGCAGGGUCAUCUUAAACCCCAUGGCACAGGAUUACAUUCAAGACUGCUCUUGAAUAUACUCAGGGAGAGAGACAACACAGCCUCUGGACAAUCUGCUCCAGUGCUUGGUUGCAUGCACAAUAAAUUUCUUCCUCGUGUUGAGGUGGAACUUCCUGAGCAUCCAUUUCUGCCCAUUGUGUCUUGUUCUAUUGCUUGGCAGCACCAAGAGGAGUCUGGCUCCAUUCUCUUGACACCCUCCCUCCAGAGACUGAAUUUCAUUGAUGAAGUCCCUUCUCAGUCAUCUCUUGUGGCUGAAUAGGCCCAGCUCUCUCAGCUUUUCCUCAUAAGAGAAAUGCUCCAGUCCCUUCGUCAUCUGUGUAGCCUCUGCUGGGGAUCCUCUCCAGGGGCUCCAUGCCUCUCCUGCACUGAGGAGCCCAGAACUGGACACAGCAUGCAGGUGUGGCCUCGCCAGGGCUGAGGGGCAGGAUCACCUCCUGCCUGCUGGCAAUGCUGUUCUUCCUGCUGAGAGCACCUGCUUUCUUGGGACAUCCUCACCACAGCCCCCUCACGGCCUUCCCAGGGCAGGAACAGAUCCCUGGAAAGGAAGAAGGCUCUGGGUUCUGCAGCCCCUCUCUGGGGACAGUGUGCGGUGGGACCUGCCUGGGCAGGACCCUGAUCCUCUCAGAUCCUGCAUGCUCAGUGAUGCCACUCACAGCUGCGUUUGCUGCUUCUCCCCAGCCCAUGAAAAAGCUUCUUUGAUGUGACAUUUAAUAGAAGAAAAGAGAAUCUAAGUACAAGGGCUUUCAGUUCCGUGUGCUUGAAAUGUGAGUCACAGAAUCGCCACUCCCCAGCCCUGCCUGAUUACACUGCUCUGGGAUGUGCUCAGCAGCCACAUCUGAUAUAGGACACACAGCAGGAAGACAGAGAGAAGGGCAUUUCCAAGGGACACACCUGCUGCAGGACAGUGCUACUAGAAGGCAUUUUCCCUUCUACACCUAUGCAGGGUCUUCAUCCUUCUCCUGGCCUACCUGCAGCGGUUUGGUUGGAAGUGUAUUCUGUGUAGUGGUAGUAAAGAGCCUCGAGAGACCUGCCCUCAGCAAAUAUGCUGGCUGUGUUAUUCACUGAGCUGUAGCUUAGAUUGCCCUGGUAACACAGCUCUGCCAACAUAAGGCAGCUGGGAGCACUUUGGUAAUUCUGUAAUCACAAAUGUCAGACCAGGUCAGGAGUCUCCAAACAGUUUGGACCACUGGAGUGUAGUCAACUCCGAAAACUUAUUGUACCCUGUUAUUAAAAUUCUACAUAAAACCAUGUUUUCAUAUGAUUCUAUAGAGUCCCUCCCACUGGCUCAUGGGGCACUCUAAGGAAACCACUGGCCAAAAUUCUGCAAUUGUAACUAACUUGAGGUACCAUUAAAGAGACUCUGUCUAAGUGUCCUCACCUUUCUGUGUGUGAAUCAGUUUUCCAGUGGUAGAGCAUAGACAGUGAUGUAUAUUAGAUAUGCAAUUCAAGAGCCCAGUGUUCAUAGUUAUUACGCACCUGCUGACUUAAAGCACCAACUUAAAAGGACUGGGAAGUAACCUUAAAACAAGCACAGUGCUAGACCCAUGUUAAAGUAAUUUUCUUGGGUAAUUUUCUUUAUGAAAAGUGACACCAAGGUCAUGUUUCUCACACAUGACUGCAAAGUGUUAUUGGUGAAGAACUGGUAGGCAGAAGUUUCUAAGGUCCCUGAAGCAGAAAGCACAAGCACAGAGUUUACUGCAAAUCUAGGAAACUCAUACUUGCUUAUUACUCUUUUAAUAUUUUUGUUCUCAAAAUAAUACUGAUUUUUAUAUAACCAGGGAUGUUAAUAUGGCUCUUUGUAAAUUAUUUUUGCACUUGGGGGAAGAGAUAAUAAAGGGAGUGUUUGAGAAAUGUCUGUUCUGAGAAAAUGCCUGUUAGUUAAGAUAGUAGGUAAACAGCACUAUAAUUAAAGGACUCAAACACUUUUGAAGUUGCUGAGGAAAUGUGUGACAAAUAUCAUCAAGAAUGUGGUUCAAAGGACCACAUUCAUAUGGUUCAUAUCUCUAAGACACACAGGGGAAGCAAAAUUCUGAUCCCAUGCUAGUUGGGUACCUGGCUUCAGCUGAAUCAAAUUUACCCUGCUGUCAGAUGUCCGCACUGGGUAACUUUUCUUGCUUUAUCUGGGAUAUUGAGAAAAGAUCACUGUGGGAUCAGGGCAGAGGAGCCUGAAACAGGUCAUAAAAAGGGCCACGAAAGAUGAGGUUAAUAAGAUGACCAAAAAGAAGUUUAAGAGAAAAAAACCCCCAAACUCCAUAGUGCCAUCAGAGCUUUUGUUCUUGCUCUUGUCUCCUUAGUACUCUCUUCUCCUUUCCUUUUCCCUUUAAGCUUCACAAAAACCAUUCCAGUUUGGCCAGUUAAAUGAUGCUGAAUAUGGUUUAUCAUUGUUAGUAAUUAAAUAAAACUGAAUUCUUAGGUACAUUCAUAGUUUAUUUUGUUGGCUGGUUGGGUUUUUAAAAUUUAUUUGUGUUGUGUUCACAAAUACAGGUAAAAAAAAAAAAAGAGUGGAAGGCAUAAAUAGUUAUGCAGAGUGGAAUUGGAUUUCUGGAUUGUAUGGAAGACUCCUCCAAGACGGCUGACUGGGAAGAUUGAGACACAGGCAUCACUACCAGAACAUUUCAUUCUGGAACAGUACAGAAACAACCUCCCACACAAUAAAGCACAGGAGGACUGUAAACAAGAUAAGAUCUGACACUACAAGAUCUUGGGCUACCUCCCUCAGGAAGAGCAGGUAGCCUGUUCGGCCAGCAAGAAGCACCAAGUGAUGGGAAAGGGAAAAAAAAUCAAAGAAAAAAAAAAAUCUCCUUUGGAUCAUGACAGCCAGGUCACGGCUGGUUUAUAAACAGCUGCAAAAAAGCCAUCUUAAGGGCAGUUUAACCAACUGCAGACUUUGGCACAGCAAGCUCAUGUCAUAUGUAUACAAGGUAUGAUAAUGGAGAAAUAGCACAGUGCUGCACUUCCACAGUCUUGCAGAUGAGUUGUAUGGGGUAACAUUAAAACUGGGCAAUAGAGUAUAUUAUUCCUAAAACUGCUUCUUUGAGCCCUUCUUCUCAAGUCUUGCUUCUAUUCACGCAUCAACUGCACCAAGCAGACGUCUCAUGCAGCUGAGGAAGCAGUGCUGAAUUCCAGGCAGAGCAGAUGGCAAGUCAGGUUUAAAGGUUUCAUCUAAAAGACCAACAUAAUGAUAUAGGACUCUAUGGCAUUCAAUUAAUCAGUGCUUGCAAGGUGAUGGAAUCAAGAAUAAUAGGAUUUAUUUGUCACCCUGGGAGAUGUAUUUUCCAUAUUUUUUUAUCCUUGUUGUCAGUCAUGUGAUUGCAUGACUAGUGGGGAAUCAGAGACAACUCCAAUGGAAAAGAGAAAUUAGGUCAUCUGGUCCAUCCUUGCUGCCAGGACAUGACUGAUUCCCUGCAGUGGAUCCCUUCCCACACAGUUACCUUUCCAACCAUCUUUUAGAAGAUGGAAAUGCAAUUCAGAGUCCCAUUUGGCUAUGGCUUCCAGAGCUUUUGAGGACUUUUUUUUUUGGCCAAGAAUGCUUAAUGAAAGAAUCAGAUCUAACAAUUUUAAAUUCAUUUCAAAGAGAAAAAAGUAAAUCUCAGAAUUUAAUUCUCAAUAAAAACUUUUUAUAGAAAAAUUGCACAAUGUGUAGAUAAUUUGGGACAUUGUUUUCAUUAGACAGGAAAUAGUUUCUGUGACUCAAUUCUAUCAAUUAAAUAAUAGGUUUUCUGCUAAAAUGAUCAAGCAACUAAUUCAGUAAGUAGUUUAGGAAGCAUCCAGUACUCGUGCUACUCUGAGCAAACCAUCAUCAGGAGACCCAGCAUCAGUGCUAGCUGACUGAAAGGAUUCCAGGUGGCCUUGAAAAAUUACUCCAAGGGCUUGGAUCCUUAUCCUUCAGCAGAACAUCUCAACAGGCAAACACUCAGACUGUAUAGAGCAGGACUGGUUAUUAAGGCAAAAAAGUUAAUAAACACAAAUGGAAAAACAGUGAUAGAACUUACACAUAGGGAAAUAGCACACUACUUCCCUUAUGGCAGCUUUAGCAUGACUUCCAUGAUGCCUGCAAAUGCAAACAACCCCCAUCUUUUACCACUAAAUCACCGUGCUCAUUGAAUAAAUCCAGUAUUUGAGUUAAUAAGUGGCAGCCCAAGUGUUUCCCUAAGGUUGGUGUCCCUUCUCAAAGGACCCAUUUGUUGUUUUUUUUUUUUAACCUGGAGAUGUGACCAUGUAGUUUGGUUUAAGGCUUGAUUCAUUUUCUGAAGUUAGGUGGAGAUUCUCCAAACUCUACUCAGCCUCAAUGGAUCACUUCCUUUGGCUACCAAAUUCUCAUCCUCCUUUGCCUUCUCAUACUUACCUACAUAAUUUCUUGAUGUUUUUAGAACCAUCAUCCUUCACUAGAGAACUUUGCUUGAACUUUACCAUGCAGCAAUAUUCUCACCAGAGAGGAUUCAAAAACACUUAAGGAACUUCCAUAGAAACUCAGCAGUUCAGAAACAAGUUCAUCAUGACAUAGGGAGUAAUGUCUUCUAUAGAUCAUCUCUGAAAAGAUCACAACCACUGCAAACUCAAGUACAAGUGCAUGUGGUUGCUUGUUAUGUCUCACCAGAGAAAUCCUAAGAUUUUCUUGAUAAAAAUGCGUUUUUUCCCUCUCCAACAGAGGAAGAAUGCUCUCAGGUGCUCCAGAAUUCUGGAAUGAAACAGGUUACUCUUUCCAGUUGCCUUGUUAUAUCUUUAAAUUAAUCCACGUAGCUUUUCCUUUUUGUCCCCAGAAGAACUGCAAAGACACUGCAGGCUUUUUCCAUCUCUGCUAUAAACUCUGAAGUCAUUGUCAAAUUCUUAAUAUCCUUCUUGUCUUUUAAAGCACAUGAAAACACUGCAUUUUAUUCCUUUACAUAAAUAAUUUUUACCUUGUCUUAAUUUAAAUGGGCUUCAUCCCAUGAUUUUAGGUAGCCAUUGCAGUUACCAAAGAUUGUCCAAAAUUCAUCAUUCAUGAAAGGGUCAGCAUGCCAGGUGGGAGUUCCCAGGGUUUGGAUAUGCAUUGUGUACGCCAUGCUCCCCAUGACAGGGCUGUGGAGUUUUACUGUAAUAACAUUAAUGAUUCGAUCCAUGGCAACAUGACAAUUUUCCUUGGCUUUGUUGCAGUAACAGAUUUCUAGAUUGCGCUUGAUGAGGAAAGAUGUGGUUACUAACAGAAGAACACACUGAAUUAUAGACCUUUUGUGGGUGUAGCAAUUUCCUACUGUUAGAGAAAAACAAAACAUUCCAGUAUUGCAAAUCCACUAAACAGUCAACUUGUUUUCUUUCCUGUUACUUUUCUUACUGCACCACUUAAUCCUAGUGAUUUAUUAAUUAGUAGUAAGGCCUGCCUGGUUUUCUGAGCAAGUGAAAUUUACAAGUGAAAUUUAGAAAGUCAAGGAAUGCAAUAUGAAGCCCCAGGAUGCUGAUACGUAUCUCAUAUUUGUAGUUGGAUGGGGGAAAAAAAAGUUACAUUUGGAAAGCUUGAGCACCUUUUAAAAAUUAAAGUGCCUUUAACAAGAAUGAUUCACCAUUUCUCCUCCAGUUCUAACUGGACAAAAAUAUUUGCAAUUGACUCAACAACCAAGACAGAUAGGUAAGCAACAUUUCCUUUUUUUCUUUUAAGACAGUGAACUAACAAGUGAGACAUUUUAUAAAGAGCAGCCAUUUGGAAAAAUGAAGUUAUGUUCAUUUCUUUCAAAUGUCAAUACCCAUGCUGUUAAAGAUCAUUCUAUUUGGCAACCAAUACAAUUCCUUCUUCCUCAGCUGUUUUUUCUCCUUUGCAAUAGAUUCUUUGUAGAUGCACUCCAAAACAAAUUGCUUCUCUUACCAGCCAAAUUAUCACUGACAAAUUAACUAUUGCAGACCAUCAAUGAACUGAAUCCUCACUAAAAUCAGCCAAGCCUUGAGGAAAAGGAUGUGCAGCAUCCACCUCUGAAAACCAAUUACUGUUACAGAUGUAUUGAAGUUCUGCACAAUGUACUAUCCCUGCAUACCACAAAAUGGUCCUGGAGCACUCUGUUAAUCUAAGAUUCCUCUUGAUGCAGAGCUGCUGACAGCAGAAUGCUACAAGAUUUAACUAACAGGCAGCACUGACACAAAAAUAAGUGGGUAGAAACCAGCUAAGAGAGCUUCUAUUUGGAUUUCUAGCAAUCAGCAGGAUGAGGACCUGGAACAAGCUUCCAGUACCAAAGGAAGAAAAGAAUCUAAUACCAGCCUGAUAAACAUACUGUGUAGUGCCUGUGAUGGCAGUGAGUGGGAUGUGAUAUCUAGGGGGUGUCCUCCAGACUUAUUUUAAGAACAUAAACCACAGCAUAAGUUGUUCCACUUCGAAGCAGAAGUCUUAAUUACGCUGGCACACUUAAGGCUAUAUCUUCCAUAGGAACCAUUUAUAUUGUUAUUUCUCCAAAUUUGUAUUUUUUAUUAUUUAUCAAAACUACUGGUUUUGAAUGGAGCAGCAUAUGCAGAGAUAUAAACAUCUUUUCAGCCUUGACCACACACCAGACCUUCAUGCAUGACAUCCCUCACUUUUAAGUGACAAAGGAUCCUAACUCCUUUCCACUCUGGAGGCAAUAACAAGAGACAGCAGUGUUUGCAUUCAGUACAUUCAGACAGGCUCUAGUUUUCUUAUUCUCCUGCCUUAAAACACUUUCAGCAAUGAUCAUCUCACUGUAUCUUCUCCCCUCUGGGAUCCUAACACACCUGGCACCUGGGUGCAGACCAUCCCCUCAAGAAUUUUCAAUGUGCAAGAGAUGAGAGCAAUUUGUGCCUUUGAGCAUCUCUCCACCACCACCCAGUGUCCCAGCCCUCACUCCAGAGACUUAGGACAGGGCAGAAAGGAAGAGCAAUGCAAGGACAGCUGGAGUAAAGCAGAGCAGGAGAGUAACCAAAUCAUUAGAAACACAUUUGUAGUAAUGGAAAUUUCAUAGUGAAGUAGCUUUGAACUUGGCUGCUAAAUAAUGCAAACAGGCCUAGCAAAAGUCCAAAUUCUGUUUCCCGGUAAGCAUUAUUGAAACUGUCACCGAUGGUAUAAAACUUGAGGGCAGGGACAAAAUGGAGUAUCAAAAAUUGGGUCAGUUAAAUUUGCUCUAGCUGCAAUUCCACUGUAUACAGACUUUUGGUGAUGCUCUGGUACUCCUUGAGAAGUCCCUCUUGUUCCUCCUACUGAUGCAACUGUCAACCAUCUCUCAAACCACAAACCUUAACAGCAAUAAGCUGGCACGAGUUUCCACUUGACACAAUGCUUAUUGAGCACUAAUACUUAUAUGAGGCAUUUUGGCACAGCUGUAUCUUAACAUGUAUCUGUACUUUGAAGUGUUCAAAUAUGUUUUAUGUGGGUGCUUAUUCUAUGUUUGCAUAAAACUCUACUGAAGACCUGGUAUAUGAAAAUUGAAAACUAUGUUCUCAAGAUCCUGUAUUUAAACUGAUUAAUUCUAACAUUAAAAGUGAAUUAAGUCACCAGCCACUAAAACCUAUAAAAUCAUAUAGCAAGAUCUUGUUCAGACCAUUCAGUCUGAUCAAAUUAGCCCUAUAAAUGAAGUUCAAGUAACCUAUAUAUUGAAACCAAUGAAAUUAUGCUAACAGAACAAAGGCAGCCUUUUGUGUCAGCCUGGAUUUUUCAGAAGGGAUCAGAGUGGCAAAACCUUGACUCUGCCAUUUUAUAAUAGCCCAGAUAUUCUGUUCCCUCCUGCUUCAUGUUGGCAUAAUUUGUUCUAUGAAUAAACACAAGUAUUCUUUAAACCUCACUGGGCUGAUUCAUGCAUCCUAUACUACAGAAGCUCCAGUACCUCUUAACACAUGCACAAAAGCUCUUUGGAAGCCUUGAGUUAUAUGAAGAAUGCUAUAAAUACAGCGUUGUUACUGCUGUUACUGCUGAAACCAAACUACCACUCCCUGGAUGUCACGCACCAGAUUUCCCUGAGGAAUGCAAUUUAAGGAAUUAAUAGCAUAGAAACAUCUCUCUCUCAUUUUCCUCCUUUUUACAGGACUGGAAUGACUCUUUUAUUGUUUCCAACAGAUUUACAACAGAUUGGAAAUACCCAGCAUCUGCUCAGCAAUAACAUCAGCAGCCAUAUGUGAUUUGAAGCCAAGGCCUAAAAAAAGACCCACUCUCCUCACUCCAAACAGGUUUUGCAAACUGUCCUUUUGCUUCCAAAGUACAGGGAUUUUACAGUCACAACGACCAUGACAGGAAUGAGGAUUUAACUAAGCAAAGAGGUUGGACAACAAAGAAUAUGAUUUGCAGUAAGAAAGCUUAUGAGCCACUUCUAAUGGCAUUUACAGAAUCUCUGCUCAUGAAUUCUUAUACUGAUGUCAAUGCACAGAUCCUACACUAUAAACUGCCUUUAAACCAGUUUGCCUAUACAGAAAUACAAGUUUUUAAAACACUUGAUGUCACAGUUUCAGGCUACACUUUAUUAUCAGGUGUACUCAUGACCAUGUGGCAGAAGACAACAAAGCAUUCCUCUAGGAAGCUGGAGUCUCUGCAGUGUAGCAGAAAAUAUCAUGGCAGUAAUCCAAAGCUAGUACUAACAUUUCACCCUUCCCACUCAGGCAUUUUACACAGCUGAAAGCUGGCCAAGCUGUAAUUGCUGGAGAUUUCAGCAGUCGUGUCAUCUAGCCACACUCGCACAAAACAGGGCAGUUCUUGUUACACAAGUCUGGGAUUUCAGCUGCACAAUGGGAAUCUCACGUCUGUACUCUUCCAGUAACAUCUAGGAUAAAUUACAGUCUGCCCUUUUCCUACAUAUGAUGAUUUAUUGCCCAAGUUUACCUGGCAGGGAAAGACUCAGCAAAAGUAAUUUAGGGAAUUACAAUCCAUCCCUGUUCAUUUGUGGUAUUGUCCCCUUCCCCUACACAUUUAAUUUCUUAUUUCCUCCAAAAAAAUGCAAAUACUUGGCCAAAUUUUGGAAGUAACAAUGACGAGAGAUGCUGCUGUAUUCACUAUUAUUAAAAUUUAAAUGCUGAUGCUGCAGUUUCAAGACUAUUUUUCAUGUAAAAUGUAGAUGCAAUCAACAAGAGACAGCUAGAGUUUGCCCAGCUUGAUAAACAUCACAAAGCACAUUUAAUAAAUUAAGCUAUAACCUAGAUACAUGGCCCAGCUGUUGUUCCUGUAAGGAAAACUAACAACUCUCUCAACAAGAUGCAAAAGAAAAGAAACAAGAGAACAGUGUUAGCUGACAAUGUAGUGCAAGCUAAGACAGCAGCCAGAAGACAGCAAAGAAAGCAAACCCUUAAAUAAGCAGAUAAGGCUGACUGCUACAUGUCAGUACCCAAACAGCUUUACUAGAGAAUGGCAGUACUUAGGAGCUAAAACAGUCAUGAAACAAAUAAAGUAUCAGUAAGAAAUGUCUGGGUGAGGGGAAAUUACAAAACCAAAACACUGAUUAAGAAGCAUAUGAGUUUAUGUAGAGUCCUGCCACACAAUACUUUGACAGCAAUUCAAAGUGACUGCAUGAAGAAAAUGAAAUUGAUACAAUUUUUUUCAGAGUAAUGCAUGCCAAUUGAAGCACAGAAUCAGAACAGUUUUAUUGUAGGAACACUCAUUUUGCACACUCAAAGAAUGAAUAAAAACAUGGAAGGUGGAAGAAAAACCACCAGAAGCUUUCAAGGACUAGUAAUAUAUAUCCUUUUUCAUAAUCUGAUUUCUUGUCCAGCCACAACACUAACAAGAGUUAAGUAUUUUCAAAAACCCACCAACAUGGGAAAGUAAGAGGUAGAGAUUUAGGAAAAAAAAAAAAAAAAAACUCUUAAGGGAUCCAGAGAGGAAAAGAAAAAAGCAGAGGAACGUAUUGGUACAAAAAGCUUCAAAAAUGAGGGAAAACAGUAACACUAAAUGUAGUCUAAGAACAAGAGAAAGCAGAUCACGAUGUAGCAGCACACAAACUAACAUUCUAGAGCAGGACAAAUUCCUCUGCAUUACUAAACAUGUAGCUGGAACACUGUAAUGAGAUCCAUCAGGAAAAACACAAAAGAAUACAGCAGAACAUUCCAACAGAUUACAAAAAAUCUGCAUCAUUUAGAUGAGAAUAUCUGCAAGCCAUGAGAGAGUAUCAAAUUUGCUGGAUUUUCUUAGUUCGUUACUAAGGUGAAUCCAUUUCCUCUAGCAGGUUUAGAUAUUAAGAAGUCCACAUGUCAGAUUAACUAUGAAAAGUAAUCUGGGGUAUUUUUAAAAAUAAAUUCAUUCAAAAGCAGACUUUUAAGAAGUAUGCAAUAAAUUUAAGACAUUUCCAGCACAAGAUACUCACUUUUUAAAGUCCAGCCCUUAAGUUAUUAUAUGGAAUUGUUACAAGUCAGCAGUAGGUGGUUUAUAAAAUGUAAUUUUAUUUAAUGUUACUUUGCUGUUACAGAGGGCAUAACAUUUUCACAAGGCUUUUUUGGGACUACAAUCAAUGAUUAGCAACACACAAUAGUGGUCCAAACUCUCUAACAAUCACUGGACAAACUUGACACCUUCUCACAUGUGCACAAACCUGCAUGGAAAAGUACUAAAUUUUAUACUUGGACAUGUGAACUUCAAUUGGUUUUCCCAUUCCAGUGUAUUAAGAAAUGACAUGCACUUUAGUCUGCCAAAAAGCACUGCCUGUACUCCAGCAGUAACAUGCUGCUUCUAAUACAUAGUAAAGUGAAUACCAGAACUACAAAGGCAGGAGUGUAAGUGAACUUUUAUUGGGAAGGGAUAUCAACUUAAACAGCAGCAACUGAAGAUUAAGAGAAGCCCCUGUUUUUGAACACACAAGCUUCUGUAUUACAUGAUACGGGAAGCAACUCAAUUUAUGGUUUUCCAAACUUUAAAUGCUCAACUUGAUCUGGCCCAAAACUUCCAUAUUCCUACUGAAACAAAUACACAGUAGCAUGUGAAAGUCAAUUAUGGAAAGGAAACCCUGCAGAA